rnacentral:rRNA from 1 species
ACGGAGGAUCCAAGCGUUAUCCGGAUUUAUUGGGUUUAAAGGGUGCGCAGGCGGAUCAAUAAGUCAGGGGUGAAAACUUUCAGCUUAACUGGAAUACUGCCUUUGAUACUGUUAGACUAGAGUAUAGUUGAGGUAGCUGGAAUGUGUCAUGUAGCGGUGAAAUGCUUAGAUAUGACACAGAACACCAAAGGCGAAGGCAGGUUACCAAAUUAUUACUGACGCUGAGGCACGAAAGCGUGGGGAUCAAACAG